AACGAACGCUGGCGGCGCGCCUAAUACAUGCAAGUCGAGCGAGAAGACGUAGCAAUACGUUUGUAAAGCGGCGAACGGGUGAGGAAUACAUGGGUAACCUACCCUCGAGUGGGGAAUAACUAGCCGAAAGGUUAGCUAAUACCGCGUACGCUUCUUGGACUUCGGUUCAGGGAGGAAAGCGAUGCCGAGGGUAUCGCGCUCUUGGAUGGGCUCAUGUCCUAUCAGCUUGUUGGNGAGGUACGGC
rnacentral:rRNA from 1 species